rnacentral:lncRNA from 1 species
GUUUUUCAGAAUACGUUAUCAGAAGGCUGCUCUAAUUUCCAGCUACUUUUAUUUUACCUUAUUUCAAACCAACUCUUCAGUCCAGGGCAUAGGACAAACAGCAAAGAGAAUGUAUGUUAGUGCUUGGAGGCUGAAAGUAGGCAUGGCAUUGCAUGGAUAGCUGAAAUUUUGCACAAGAAAGUUAAAGAACAGCAAGAGAUAGGGAAAUUUUGUAUUUGUAUGUGUAAUUUUCAGAGGUGUAUGAAGCAGAGGCAGGCUGGUAUUUGUGUGCAGCCUGCAGCUAAGGUAACUUCCACUUUUUUGAGAAGAAUCACUAUGACCUCUAUGUGACCUAUAAAUCCAGAGUUUCAAGUCCUUCUUGAUUUUCACCUAAUGUUUUUUCAAAAGUGAUAUUAUACUCUUUAAAGUUGUUUAAAUGGCCAAUGAUGAUGUGUGCUUUACUGGUUGGUUCCACAGAAAGGCAUCUUAUUGUCUGCAAUAUUUUUUCAUUUCUUCAGUAAUUCAGUUACAGAUUACUUUGACUAUCUUUCUGCUAAUAGAUUGAGAGCUUUAUAGCAGGCAAAAUAUAAAUCUGACAAGCAAAAAUGUUUUAAAAGAAUAUGGUUCUACUCUGCUGCAUCAUACAUGGUAGUUAGCAACUAUAAACACCACUCCAAACCUACCUGGAAUGGUUUUCAAGGAAUUUAACUGAUUAGAAAUAGUGGAACUAUUUUAUGUGGAAACUAUCCACAUAAAAGCAAUAAAUUUUUUUGAAAUGAUAGAUUCACAAUGCUAUAGAAAGAGCUGAUCCUGAUUAUUUUUGUCAAUGAACUUUAGGACCACUGGAAUCUUAUUUCAUCAAAUUAGGGCCACUGAGAGCUUAAAUCAGAAAACUACAUGCAGGAAGCCAGUCAUGAACCAUUUGCCUUUCUUGAAUCACUCAAGUUGUUCUGCUGGCAGCAUAUGCUUAAAUAUCUUGCUGAAUCAUGGCCCAUGGGCCCUUUUCUUUUCUUUUCUUUUCUUUUCUUUUCUUUUCUUUUCUUUUCUUUUCCUUUCUUUUCUUUUCUUUUCUUACAGUAUUGAUGGCAUUAACUUCCACUGAUUAAUCACCAAGGUUAAUUAAGUGUUUUAUGAGUAGAUUAGAUUUGCUCUAGGAA